rnacentral:rRNA from 1 species
AAGACCUUGCACUUUUGGAGCGGCCGAUGUCUGAUUAGCUAGUUGGUAGGGUAAUGGCCUACCAAGGCUUCGAUCAGUAGCUGGUCUGAGAGGACGGCCAGCCACACUGGGACUGAGACACGGCCCAGACUCCUACGGGAGGCAGCAGUGGGGAAUUUUGGACAAUGGGCGCAAGCCUGAUCCAGCCAUGCCGCGUGAGUGAAGAAGGCCUUCGGGUUGUAAAGCUCUUUCAGCCGGGAAGAAAAGGUUGCGAUUAAUAAUCGUAAUUUAUGACGGUACCGGAAGAAGAAGCACCGGCUAACUACGUGCCAGCAGCCGCGGUAAUACGUAGGGUGCGAGCGUUAAUCGGAAUUACUGGGCGUAAAGGGUGCGCAGGCGGUUUUGUAAGUCAGAUGUGAAAUCCCCGGGCUUAACCUGGGAACU